GACGUGUCCCAAAUAGGACGAAACGCGCGUC
rfam:Schistosoma mansoni strain Puerto Rico chromosome 1, complete genome